rnacentral:rRNA from 1 species
UCCUACGGGAGGCAGCAGCCGAGAAUAUUUGUCAAUGGGCGAAAGCCUGAACGAGCGACGCCGCGUGUGGGAAGAAGGUUUUCGGAUUGUAAACCACUUUUAUUCGGGAGAAAUCCGCAAGGAUGAUAGUACCGAAUGAAUAAAGGGUUCCCAACUCUGUGCCAGCAGGAGCGGUAAUACAGAGACCCCGAGCGUUAUCCGGAAUUAUUGGGCGUAAAGCGUCUGUAGGCGGUUUAAAUAGUGAGAUGUUAAAUGUCGAAGCUCAACUUCGUCACCGCAUCUCANACGUUUAGACUAGAG